AGAGUUAAAUAGUACGUGAAAUUGUUGAAAGGGAAACGAUUGAAGUCAGUCAUGCUAGUGAAAAUUCAGUUUGGCGGGUUUUAGGUUUGGGAGUAAGAGACAGGGUCAAACCAUCUCUCUUUUAAACUUGGGAUUUGUCGGACGCACUUUUUCUUUGGCAGGUCAGCGUCGAUUUCGGGGGUUGUAAAAUACUUGGGGGAAAGUAGCUCUGCUUCGGGAGAGUGUUAUAGACCUUGGGAGAUGCAGCCUGCGGGAUCGAGGAUUGCAGCAAAUGCCAUUGGCUUGUCGCCUGAUCUUUGAUUGUUACCUUGUUUAUGACAACAUUCUUGUCAUCGAUGAGUACUAAUGGUUAUGGGUUAGAACGAUCAAAAAUUUGCUAAGGAUGCUGACGUAAUGGCUUUAAACGACC
rnacentral:ncRNA from 2 species